rnacentral:tRNA from 1 species
GGGGGUAUAACUCAGUGGUAGAGUGGGAGAUUGCAGAUCUUCAAGUCGGGUGUUCGAUCCACUCUGCUCCCU